rnacentral:lncRNA from 1 species
AUGCAUGUGAUGUACCACACCAUGUGGUGCGUACAAAUAUCGUUAAGAAUCCAUGCUCAAAACAUAGAAAGUCAUAUAGAAUGCUAUAUAGUUGUGGAUGUCGGCUAAGAUGGAUGGCCAUCAAAUAAAGAAAUUCAUUAGCAUAUGUAGUAUAUCACACAUAAUAGAUAUUGUUUGAUGGUGUUCCAUCUUAUGAUAGCUGCCUUCUAAAAAAACAUGGUGCGCGGG